GGCUAACGCUGGCGGCGUGUCUUAGCCAUGCAAGUCGAGCGGACUUAUGGGGUAACUUAUAAGUCAGCGGCGGACGGCGGAGUAACACGUAGCUAACCUACCCUCUGGACGGGGAUAACCUACCGAAAGGUGGGCUAAUACCCGAUGUAGUCAUCCUGUAUAGGGGUGAUGAAAGGUGGGCUUCUGUUUACAAGCUCAUGCUGGAGGAGGGGGCUGCGGCCUAUCAGGUAGUUGGUAGGGUAAUAGCCUACCAAGCCGAUGACGGGUAGCCGGCCUGAGAGGGUGACCGGCCCGAGGGGCGCUGAGAUACGGGUCCCACUCCUACGGGAGGCAGCAGGCUAGAAAUUUGGGCAAUGGGGGAACCCUGACCCAGUGACGCCGCGUGCAGGAAGGAGCCCUUCGGGGUGUAAACUGCUGUCGUGUAGGGAGAAGGGUACUAAGGUGAACAAUCUUAGUACUUGACGGUACUACAGGAGGAAGCCCAGGCUAACCUCGUGCCAGCAGCCGCGGUAAGAUAGCGUACU
rnacentral:rRNA from 1 species